UGCCUAUAGUGUUCUAGAGGCUGUAUGUUCAUUAACUCCUGUCCUCACAACAAGCCUGUGAGCUGUGGACUAUUGUCUUCAAGUCACAGGUGGAGCUACGGGGGCUCAAAGACACUGAGUAACUUACUAGGCAGCUGCUAAGCAAAGGGCCAAGGCAGUUGAACCGCAAAGCAUAUCGUGUGCAGCAACAGAUCUUGGCAAUCAUUAAGGUAAACAGGGAGUGUCAACCAUUAAUGAAGGGUCAUCCAGUUUGAAGGAGAGUUUGCCUUUGCCUGAAGACCCUGCUAAUUCUGUGGCCUGAGCAGCUGUGAAGAAGUGAAGUCAACAGAAACCAAUCCCCUGGCUUCUGCUCUUCCCCAUAGCCCAAGCUCACUGCCAGAGUGUCAGAGCCUUGGCUUCCCUUGACCAGACACAGGAAGACCCUAAUUCCUGGGGUUCGAGGAAUGGUACUAUGGUUCACUGAUGUCUGAUCGGUGCACAAACAGAAGGUAUGCUUGCAAAUGAUUCCAGAAAGUUCUGCAUCUUUUCACUAGACCAAGUAGCAAAGUGAAGAAAAUGAAGUGGAAAGUAGGAAUUUGGGGUCUCCUGUCCUAAUGUUGCUUGUUUCAGCCAAUACAGCCUGACGUCCAUUUCCUGAUCCUUCUGUUCUUGCGGGAACCAUUCCCAGGUCUUCCAAACAGGAAUCUUCUGAUCUCUCAUCCACCCCCUCAAACUGAUGAGCCAAUAAAACAUGUAAACCUGGCCCCAAAUAGAAGCCCUGGUGUUCACCGUCUCUGUUUACUCUUUGGACUCCUCCGCCCUUCCCUCCUUGGGCCUCAGCCAAGUUUGCCAACGGUAGCACCAUGAAUGCUUCAUCUAGAAUCCCCCUGCCUCAGCCAUCACAACCACUAUCCCUGCUAUGUCCCCAAACCACCCAGCACUACCAAGUCAAAACCUAGGGAAAUGCCGGCUGCCAAUGACACCCUGAAGGUCCAAGCUUCUGCUGAGAAGCGCUGCUCAUAGGAGCAGUGGUGGGCUGGCCAGGUUGGAAAACUCAGAUGUUUUUGUUUCUACUCCACAUGCCCCCGCCAACCCUGCUACAAAUUAUAGGGCUGAUUCCUUGGCCAAUUCAGAUCUCUGGAAUCCCUUGUCUUCUGCCUGAAGCCCCUCAUCUCCCUGUCCACGAACAUCCACCCAUCCUGUGGUGGAUAGGGAGCCAGAAUAUGUGUUACAGGGAUUCCUGGACAGCUCUCCACCAGUGUGGAUUCUAGCACCUGGUCAGGGGAGAAAACUGUGGGCCCGAGAUGCACCCAUAAGAGCUGACGCCUGGGUGGUUCAGCGGUUGAGCAUCUGCCUUCGA